AGACUCCCUUUGCCUACCUCUUCCUCUCUGACCCCAUCCUCGCUUUGAUGCCCGGGACCUGCUACCCAGAAACAACGUGAGGCUCAGAGAGAAGAAAUGACUAAAAUUACACAGCUGGUACAUGGCAGAGGUGGAACUAAAAAGUUAAGUGUGUCUACCCCAGAGCCGAGUAGACCUGCUCUUUUUUGAACACUUCCUGGACUUUCAUGCCUUUGUCCCAGCUGUGCCCUCUCCCUGGAUGCCCCUUCCAUCUGGGCAGCUCCUACUAGACCUGCCUUGGCAUACAUAACACAGGAGAACGGAUUGCCAAAGGGUAGGAGAGUGCCUGGUCUAUAGUGUGCGCCCAACACAGAUUUGGUGAAUGAAUGAACACUGGGUCCAGCAGACCUGGAUUCUUCCAUGUAACCCACUGUGUGGCCUUGGUGGAGCCAUGCGGGUGCAAUAAUCCUGGUUUCCACCCUUCAGGGCUGCUGCUGGGACUCAGUGAGAUCAUCAUGUAUCUAAUGCCCUUUGCUCAGUGCUGGGCACACAGUCAAUGCGCAUUGAAUCUUAGCUAUUGCUACCUUUACAAUCAAUCAAAAGUCACUUCUGAAGAAUAGACAGGGCUCCCCCAGGCCAAAUAAAUAAUUCCUCCCGGGACAAACCCCAGCUCUCACUCCCUCCUCUUUAGGCAGGGGGCUCCCUGAAGGACAGAGACCCGGUUUUAUUCCAUCUUGCCGUCCCCCAUGGUGCCGGGCAUACAGUGGUGCCCAGUAAACGUGUGUGUUGCACAAACAUGCGGUAACUAGGGCCCCAUCUUUUUCAAAAGAACACACUCCCCAGGUGCAGCCGCAAAGAGAGACUGUUCAGCUGUUCAGGUGAGGUUUUGGGGUGAAACUCGUCUGAAUAAUAGUUUUACU
rnacentral:lncRNA from 1 species